AAAAGGGGCAGCAUGGUCUUAGCUUGCUAAGGCCGAUGGCGACCGGCGCACGGGUGAGUAACACGUAUCCCCCUUUCCGUCUACUCUUGGACAGCCUUCUGAAAGGAAGAUUACUACAAGAUGGCAUCAUGAGUCCGCAUGUUCACAUGAUUAAAGGUAUUCCGGUAGACGAUGGGGAUGCGUUCCAUUAGAUAGUAGGCGGGGUAACGGCCCACCUAGUCUUCGAUGGAUAGGGGUUCUGAGAGGAAGGUCCCCCACAUUGGAACUGAGACACGGUCCAAACUCCUACGGGAGGCAGCAGUGAGGAAUAUUGGUCAAUGGACGAGAGUCUGAACCAGCCAAGUAGCGUGAAGGAUGAAGGUUCUAUGGAUUGUAAACUUCUUUUAUACGGGAAUAAACGAAUCCACGCGUGGAUUUUUGCAUGUACCGUAUGAAUAAGGAUCGGCUAACUCCGUGCCAGCAGCCGCGGUAAUACGGAGGAUCCGAGCGUUAUCCGGAUUUAUUGGGUUUAAAGGGAGCGUAGAUGGGUUGUUAAGUCAGUUGUGAAAGUUUGCGGCUCAACCGUAAAAUUGCAAUUGAUACUGGCAGUCUUGAGUACAGUUGAGGUAGGCGGAAUUCGUGGUGUAGCGGUGAAAUGCUUAGAUAUCACGAAGAACUCCGAUUG
rnacentral:rRNA from 1 species